rnacentral:rRNA from 1 species
CACGUAGGGGGCAAGCGUUGUCCGGAUUUAUUGGGCGUAAAGAGCUCGUAGGUGGUUCGGUAAGUCGGGUGUGAAACCUCCAGGCUCAACCUGGAGACGCCACCCGAUACUGCUGUGACUGGAGUCCGGUAGGGGAGCGUGGAAUUCCUGGUGUAGCGGUGAAAUGCGCAGAUAUCAGGAGGAACACCAGCGGCGAAGGCGAGUCUCUGGGAUGAUGCUGACGCUGAGGCGCGAAAGCCAGGGGAGCAAACGGG